CAGAAACCCCUGAUAAACCCAUCAGUUUUCAUGAGACUUAUUCACUAUCACGAGAAUAGCAUGGGAAAGACUAGCUCCCAUGAUUAUUACCUCCCCCUGGUUCUCUCCCAUAACGUGGGAAUUCUGGGAGAUACAAUUCAAGUUGAGAUUUGGGUGGGGACACAGCCAAACCAUAUCACUGACUUAUUUCACUUAAGACAAUAUUUCCAGUUUCAUCUUUGAUGCUGCAAAAGAUGUGAUUCUGUUCUUUUUUUAUGGCUGAAUAUACACUACAUUUUCUUUAUCCAACCAUCUGGUGAUGGAUACUUAAGUUGAUUCCUUAUCUUUGCUACAGUUCAGUGAUUUUUAAAGUAAACUUACAGAGUUGGGAAAUCAUCAUCAUAAUCCACUUGGAACAUUUUUAUCUCUGCAACAAGAUGUGUCCAUUUGUAGUCACAACUUGUUCCCACCACAACCCCCAGGCUGCCAGGAAUCUACUUUCUGUUUCUAUACAUUUUUUCUGGGCAUUUUAUAAAAAUGGAAUCAUGAAGUCUUUUGUGUCUGGCUUCUUUCACAGUAUAAUCUUUUUGAGAGUCAUCUGUAGUACUUGUGUUUCCUCUUAUUGUUGAAUAGCAGCCCAUUGUAUGGGCAUACUGUACUUUGUCUAUGCAUUCACCAGUUGGUGGACACUUGAAUUGUUUCCACAUUUUGGCAACUAUGAAUAAUGCUGCUAUGGACAUUCGUGUACAAGUGCUCGUGUAGACAUAUUAAUAUGUAAUCUUGUUCUAAAAGUCUAAAAUUCUAAGAAUUUAUCGAACUUGUGAAGAGAAUGACUAUUGAAACUAGCCUUGGUUCUUAUCCUUUGGAUGUGACUACAUUUUUGUCAGAAUGUCAUGAAGAAGCAUAAUUAUUUAUAUCCAAGAUAGAAUUUAACUUUCAAUUAAAAAAUGUUAAAGUUGAUUUUUAAUAAAAUACUUGGACAAAAGUAGAUCAGGGAUUAGGUUGAUUGCUUUUAAAUUUUAGUGUAAAAUUUCAAGAAAGGUUAGACUAGAUUCCAGUGGCUGCAAUGCUGCACAGCUAUAGGCCGCAUCCUCUCAUUGGAGUUGUGUGUGCAGGUGUGCCCUUCAUGUGGGAUGCAGUGGGAAUGGUGCCGUCCAGAGCUGUGUGUGAACAGGUGUCCAUACUGCUAGUCUUUGAGUCUGGGUAAUCUCCACUCUGUCCCUGGAGGGUGGGCCUGUUCUGCUUCUAGAGGUCAAUGCCAAGUCAGAAAGGGAGUCAAGGCCCAGAAUGCCACUCUGCAGACUACUAUAGUUCCAGACUCUAGGGAGUCCUGGGCAGGGGGCUUAUCUUAAACCAAAGGAAUUUCAGACUAGAAUUGUAGAUGGUGCCCUUGAAGAGCUGAUGGGACAGAUUGAAAGUCCUGACUCCCAGCUAAAGCAGUAUCCUACACACCCUCCCAUCUGGAGAGAUCUUGGGCUAGAUGCCCCCAGUCUAACUGAGACGCUGACUUUGGAGGGUUGUUCCAGCCUUGCAAUAGUAGUACCUUUUUGUUUAGGUGGGAGUGGAUUAGAACAGUGGGUAAAGUUUUGGGGUGAAAGAAGCCAACUGGGACAUAUGUCUUAGGGGGACACAGGCUUUGUCCAUCCUUUCUCUAAAAGUACUGGGCUGAACCCUCUCAGCAGAGAGUUGUGGAAAAUUAGAGACGUUCUGUGGAAAGACCAAGUUAAUGUUCAAGUCUCAGAAUCUGAUCUUAGGUCAAAUAUCUCUUGCUUUUGCCAGUAAAAAGAGCCCAGAUGUUUUUCUAUUUACUUAGGCAAACCCUUGAAACACAAGUUAGUCAUAUAAAACUUUACAUUUGCAAUGUUAAGAGCCCAUAUUUGGAAAGUCACAAGCAUAAAAUAUAUACUGUGAAAUGGGAGGUCAGGACGGUGAACUCAUUUCAGAACCAUAGUUUUGACUCAAGAAUUUUGAUGGGGUCUUCACGUUGGUUGAGCUUCUUGGUCCUAAUAUCAUUGAGAGAAUUAAAUCAUGAUAUUAAAACAUUGAAACACUAAUGCUUUGUUUUUAUUGGCAAGAACCAAAAUGAUCUAAUACUAAUGCCACGAAACAUCAGUCACUUUUUUCCUGAUGAAUAAGAUGAACUUUGGCUGCUUAUGAUAGUAAAUUUAAUAAUGUCAGUGAUUUGAACUGUUUCAGUUCUAAAUGUGCAGAAAUGUGUUUUACUGCAUCUCUCUCUCUCUCUCUCUCUCUCACACACACACACACACACACACACACACACUACUUCUGUCAGGAAGUUUUGUGGCAAAUGAGCCCAAAUGCAUAGAUUAGAGCAUAUCAUUCACAUGUGCCAUGUGUGUGCCAAAGUGUGCGUACCCACUGCUAGACUUCCUCUCACAGGUGGUCUGAAUUUGCUUCUAGCUGGUCCUGUAAGCAGAUUUAAUAUUUCAUAAGCACUGCUCCAUCUCAUGCCUCCAUUAUUGACACCACAUGGAAGUCAGGAAAUUGGUUCUUUCUGGGAACAGUUUGCAGAAAUAUGCAGCCUGUCAGCCCCUUUCUCAUGGGUGCAUUAACAGAGCAGCUCACGAUUACAAGUAACGAACCUUCUCCAGAUGUGUGUAGCAACUCAGCUCCAACUUUAUCUUCGGCCCUGAAGAUGGACUUGGCAAGAUGGAUUAUUUGUGGCUGUAUUGUAAUAACUUUGUGAAAUUGGAAUUCCCAGUGAUUGUAAUGGAGGGUGAGGAAGCGGCAGCAGAGGAACAGAUAAUUUCUCCUUGCAGUAAACAACGAAAAGACCAACAACAAUAAAAAGGGCAAAUCAGCUGUGGCAUUUUCCUGCUUUGGACACCGACUCUUCCAGACUGUUCUAAUUCUUUCCCUUUUAUGAUUCUGUUUAUGUUACACACAUUAAAGUUAAGUCAUGUCUUAAAUAAGAUGGAAACUGGAAGUGAGAUUUGGAAAUGACUGAAUCAGGCUUCUUAACUUUUUUCUUCUCUUGGAGAGCUCAAAAACAACGGACAGAAAGGGAUAUACCAAAGAAAACAAUAUUAAUUGUCGGCUUCCAUGGAAAAUUCAAUCCAGUCUUUCAUUCAUUCUCUUCCCAGUGCAGUGCCAGCAGACUUCUCUCUAUAUGGCUAAGGGCUUAAUUUAGCUGACAAAUUUCUGAAGGAUAACUAAGCUUUCAGAAAGAAAGAUUCUAGCUAUAAAUGAAGCAUGUGUGCUCUCUCAGUCACAAAAGACAGAUUUUUCCAGGAUAAAGUAAUUUGGGGUAAAUUUCUCCUGUAUUUUAUUAGCAGUGAUGAUUUCAAGGGAGUAUUCUUUUAAAGCAAGGCAGUAUUUAAAUCUUUCUUUUAAAUCACAAGUCCCUUGAGUUGAUAGUUAUAAAACUGGGUUCCACUGGGAGUUAUUUGUACAUCUUCAAGGUUGGCACCCUUAGUUGUUUGAUGUAGAUGUUCUAGAUAAAAUUCCUAAAGUCCAGCUGUUAUGAUUUAGCUUAAUAUGUUUGUACAGAGGGGUUUCCUUUGUCAUUGAAGAGAUAGAGUCAAAACAGAAUUAGUCAUUCUUGCAUCUUCUAUUUAUAGCCCACUAUUAUUCUGAUGCAUUGUCAAAGAAUGAAGUGGACAAGAAUUUUUCUUCCUUUCUUUCUUUUUUUUGUGUAAACAAAACUCUUUUUAUACUCUGUGGAUUUAACUUUGGUUGCUAACUUAGUCAGACAAGGCACUUAACAAAAAUAUUACUUCUUAAAUGAAAAAUUACCUAUUAAGUCAUCCCAUCUUCAUUUGCAAAUUAAAGGUUUGUCAGUACAAAGUAUGUGGGAUGACCAGAAGUCAUGGAUGACUUACACUGAAGUGGCAAGGGUAGAAAAGGUCAGUUUGAAAAUUUAUUUGUAUGGGUUGCUCAUGACUAAUAGUCCAAAUCUGGAGAGUUUAUAAACAAAAUUCUAUUCUGUUUAUUUAGUUUAUGCCAGCAUUAAAGCUAGCCUGAAAAUUUAGUGAAAGUCAUUUAAGGAAUUUUUAUUUGGAGGAAACUUUAAUUUUUAUUUUUGAGGUCACUGAAUAAAUGUAGAGGUCUCUGUGGCCUGUACUGCAACAAGUAGAACAGUUAGAUAAACUGGUUGUUGAAACUCCCUGGGCCACUGAGUUUUCUUAUUUCUUUUUUUUUUUUUUUUAGUAGAGAGCUGACUUUAGAGGGAUCAAGAAUAGCUUGCUGGAUGGAAGGAGCUUGGGGCCAGUCAUCAUCUUAAAGGCUCUGUGGCAGCUUGGACUUGAAGUAGGGUGCACCCGGAAUUGACCAAUACAAACAGUGGACUGCACUGGAUUCUUCUUGUGCCCUGUCUCAUAUCCUCUUGUCCCACCUUUUCAUAACAGCCAUUGCCAUGGGAACCAGCUGCAUCCAGAUCACAUCCAGGGGCCAAAACCAGUUCUGUGAGCCACUGGAUGAAGACAUUGACCAACUAGAAAGCAUCUGCAGAGGUCAAGUAGGACCAUGGGAGAUCCAGAUUCCAUUUAAACAAGAAUGCCUUAAAGAAGUGGGAAUAUUUAGCCUGAGUGAGAGAAAAUGCUCUUACUCUGUGUGUGAUCAGAGGAGGAGAAAGGAGGACAAAGUUACAUCAAUGUGAUCAGCAACCAUUUGAUAGAGCUACUGUGCUCAAGAGGGGACAGUUUGAUUUAUACGUUUGACAAGGUGGAGCCAGGAUCAAUGAGUGAACAUUAAAGGAAAGAAUAUUUGGGCUCAAUAUUUGGGCUCAAUAUUUUGGGCUCAAUAAUUUGGGCUCAAUAAGGAGGACUUUCCCAAUAAUUACAACGUUCCAAACUUGAAAUGGGGUGUCUCAAAAAGGAGUGAGUGCCCUGUUACUGAAAACAUUUAGGUUAGGGCUAAAUAGCCAUCAAUUAGGGUGAUAUAAUGAGAUUCCUGUGACUGUUCCAACAAGCAUCUGGUGUGCACCAGUCAUGUAGAUUCUAAGAGACACUGAGAGCAAAGAGAAACACUUCCUCCCUCAAAGAGCUCAGGGUUUCAAGAGACUGACAUGUAAACAAACUGAUAAUAAUGGCAAUUUGGUAUAACAUAUGCAAUUUGGAGUAACGUGUGCAAAGGAACAUGGGCCAAAUUUUAACUACUAGAGAGAGAAAAGCUGAUGCUCUGCUAGGGGUAGGAGGAGGCUGAGAAUGAAACUAGAGAGGAUUUUAGGGAGAAGGUAAUGUUGAGCAGAUUUGAAGGAUAUGUAGGAGUUUUUUGUGGACACUAUUGUUCAAUUAAUGCUGGUCAAUAAGGAGAACACUCAGGAUAAGUGGGGCAGGGGUUGGGGGUUGCAAAAGACAUGGAGGUAGAAACAGCAUGGCUUAUCAAGGACCCAACUGGUUUGAAAGAUCUUCAGCAUAAGGUGGUGGGAAAGGGAAGAGAGGGGAAGUGGCAGGAGAUCAAGAAGAUGGGAGAGCAAGAAAGAGAAUGCCUUUGAUCUUGAACAGAAGGGCUUCCCUCAUGGAGAUGAGAGGAAAUGCAUAGCAAUGUGGAGAGAGUAAGGGCUGGUCAGUAAGAUUAACAUGGCUGGUGACAACAUAUUUCUCAGUGAAUAACUGAUCAACAUAAGACGAAUGAAGUUGUGUAGGGGUCUCAUGGAGACUGUCCUAAAGACUUAGCAUAAUUGUGGGCAAUGUGAAGGAAAGGCAAAAUAAUUGAUAGAUAGCAUCAAGUACCGAAAGGGAAAAUAUUAAAAUUUGUAGCGUCAGUCCACACAGGCCUCUGAUUUUCUUUAAGAGCACUCAGAUGUGUAGGGGGUCAGAGGAGAUGGGCUCUAAGGUCUUUUCUAAGUUCAAGAUUCCCAAACUCCAUGCCUUGCCAUUAUUCCCUCUUGGGCAUAUGGGAUAUUUUGUAAUGGCUUUUAAAAAAUAUAUACCAUAUAAUUGCCAAGGAAAAUUGUCUAAUUAAAUGAUUUUUAGUAUAUUCACAGAAUUGUGUUAGUAUCAUCCUAAUCAAUUUUGGAAAAUUACUCCCAAAAAAAAUCCUGUACAGGCAUACCUCAAUUUAUUGUGCUUCACUUUACCGUGUUUCACAGAUACUGCGUUUUUUUCCAAAUUGAAGGUUUGUGGCAACCCAGUGUUGAGCAAGUCUAUUGGUGCCAUUUUGCUAAUAGUAUGUGCUCACUUCGUGUCUCUGUCACGUUUUGGUAAUUCUUGCAAUAUUUCUAACAUUUUCAUUAUUGUUAUGUUAUGGUGUUGUGAUCAGUGAUCUUUGAUAUUGUUAUUGUGAUUGUUUUGGGACACCACGAACUGUGCCCAUAUAAGAUGGAAAACUUAAUUGAUAAAUGUUGUCUGCGUUCUGAUUCUUUCAUCAACUGGCUCUUCCCCCGUCUGUCUCUCCCUCUUCUUGGGCCUCCUAUUCUUUGAGACACAACAAUAUCGCAAUUACACCAAUUUAAUAACUCUACAAAGGCCUUUACGUGUUCAAAAAAAAGGAAGAGUCAUAAGUCUGACAUUUGAAAUCAAAAGCUAGAAAUGAUUAAGCUUAGUGAGGAAGGCAUGUAUAAUGCUGAAAGCUGAGAUAGCCAAAAGCUAGAACUCUUGAGCCAAACAGUUAGCCAAGUUAUGAAUGCAAAGGAAAAAUUCUUGAAGGAAAUUAAAGGUGCUAUUCUAGUGAACACAUGAGCAAUAAGAAAGUCAAACAGCAUUAUUGCUGAAAUAAAGUUUGAGUAGUCUGGAUAAAAGAUCAAACCAACCCCAACAUUCCCUUAAGCCAAAGCCUAAUUGAGAGCAAGGCCAUAACUCUUAAAUUCCCUGAAGGCUGAGAGAGGUGAGGAAGCUACAGAAGAAUAGCUGGAAGCUAGCAGAGGUUGGUUCACAAAGUUUAAGAAGCCAUCUCCAUAACAUAAAAGUGCAAGGUGAAGCAGCAAGUGCUGAGAUGGAAGCUGUAGCAAAUUAUCCAGCAGAUCAAGCUAAGAUCAUUGAUGAAGGUGGCUACACUAAACGACAUAUUUUCAAUGUAGAUAAAACAGCCUGCUUUGGAGAAAGAUGACAUCUAAGACUUUUCUAAUUAGAGAUGUCAGUGUUUGCCUUCAAAGCUUCAAAAGAACUGGCUAACUCUCUUGUUAGAGGCUAACGCAGUGGGUGACUUUAAGUUGAAACUAAUGCUCAUUUACCAUUCUGAAAAUCUUGGGGCCCUUGAGAAUUAUGCUAACUAUUCUACCUGUACUGUAUAAAUGGAACAGCAAAGCCUGGAUGACAGCACAUCUGUUUACAGCAUGAUUUACUGAAUAUUUUAAGCCCACUCUUGAGACCUACUGCUCAGAAAAAAAAAAAAUCCUUUCAAAAUAUUACCACUCAUUGACAGUGUACCUGAUCAUCCAAGAGCUCUGAUGGAGAUGUACAAAAAUAUUAAUGUUGUUUUCAUGCCUGCUAACCCAACACCCAUUCUGCAGUUCAUAAAUCAAGGGGUAAUUUUGACUUUCAAGUCUUAUUAUUAAGGAAUACAUUUUGUAAGGCUAUAGCUUCCAUAGAUAACAAUUCCUCUGAUGGAUCUGUGCAAAGUCAAUUGAAAACCAUGUGGAAAGAAUUCUCAUUCCGGAUGCUGUUGAGAAUAUUUGUGAUUCAUAGGAGGAGGUCAAAAUAUCAACAUCAACAGGAGUUUGGAACAAGUUGAUUCCAACCCUCAUGGAGACUUUGAGGGGCUUCAAGACUUCAGUGGAAGAAGUAACUGUAGAUGUGGGAAUAACAAGUCGACUAGAAUAAGAAGUGGAGCCUGGAGGUGGGACUGAAUUGCUGCAAUCUCAUGAUAAAACUUUAAUGGAUGAAGAGUUGCUUCUUACAGAUGAGCAAAGAAAGUAGUUUCUUGAGAUGGAAUCAACUCCUAGUGGAGAUGCUGUGAAGAUUGUUGAAAUGACAACAAACGAUUUAGAACAUUACAUCAACUUAGUUGAUAAAGCAGCAGCAGGGUUUGAGAGAAUUGACUUUAAUUUUGGAAAAAGUUCUAGUGUGGGUGAAAUGCUUUCAAACUGCAUUGCAUGCUAUAGAGGGAUCUUUUGUGAAAGGAAGAAUCAAUUGACACAGCAAACUUCACUGUUUUCUUAUUUUAAGAAGUUACCACAG
rnacentral:lncRNA from 1 species